rnacentral:rRNA from 1 species
GUCCUUUUGAGAUUUAUUUAAGGUUUAACCUGCCCACUGAUUUAUUGAAGGGCCGCAGUAUUUUGACUGUGCAAAGGUAGCAUAAUCAUUAGUUUUUUAAUUAAAAGCUUGUAUGAAGGGUUGGACGAGGUAAAUUCUGUCUCUGGAUAAUUAAUUUUAGAAUUUAAUUUUUAAGUCAAAAAGCUUAAAUUUUUUUAAAAGACGAGAAGACCCUAUAGAUCUUUAUAUUAUAUUUAUUAGUUAUAUAUAAGAUUUUUUUAAUUAAUUAAUAGAUUUAAUAUUUUAUUGGGGUAAUAAAAAGAUUUAAUUAAUUCUUUUUUUAUUUAAACAUUAAUAAAUGAAUUUAUGAUCCAGUAUUAUUGAUUAAAAGAUUAAGUUACCUUAGGGAUAACAGCGUAAUUUUUUUAGAGAGUUCAUAUCGAUAAAAAAGUUUGCGACCUCGAUGUUGGAUUAAAAAUUAUUUUAGGUGUAGAAGCUUAAAAUUUUGGUCUGUUCGACCAUUAAAUUUUU